AGAGCAGAGGGCGAUACAAAGGCUGGCGAACUGAUUCUGUGUGUGUUUGUGUUUUGAACUGUCCUGAGUCCGUGCGUUUGUCCGCUUGCCUCCGUUGUGAUCAUACGCAACUCCGUCCCUCUGUCACCCUGUGUACGGACAGACGCACUCACGCCAGUAGGAGGGGAUUGUGGGAAGGGGGUGUAGCUCUCAGAGGGUGUGCUAUGCUCCUCUCUUUUCCCUUCUUCCCGCCAUCACGGCCCUCUUCUCCUCCAGUCCUCUGGCCCAGCUCGCCGCUCACAUACAGGCUCCAGGUGUCUCUUUGUAGACGGGCAGGAGGAAGGACAGGCCUCCUCGGUUACUCGCUGACCUCAGAGCGACUCCCGAGCCAGAGAGCUGUUGUAACAUUCAGGAGUUUUACCUUCGAGGAUCUUCGCUGCUGGAGGAACACGUAUGCUGUCCUUGGGGCUGAGGUAGUAGAUUGAAUAGUUGUGGGGUUGUGUAACCUCUUUUUGAGAUAACUAUACAAUCUACUGUCUUUCCCAAGGAGACAGCUAAGUCAGCCGCUCGCCGACUGUCAUCUCCAGAUGGGCAAUUACCCUGUCCAAACAAUCGCGGCAAAUAAAAUAAUGCAUCGUGACAGGCAUUGUUUUUUUGUGUGUUUUUUUUGCUUGAGCAGGUAAAUUAGGUGUCCUGUUCCCCGGCAGGAGACCGUGUGGUGUCCUCGAUUUGGGCUCUGUCAGGGUGAGGUAGUAGGUUGUAUAGUUUGGUGGGUGGGAUUACACCCUGCUCAGGUGAUAACUAUACAGUCUAUUGCCUUCCCUGAGGAGUUCGCUUAACACUCAUCAAUAUUCAACACACUCUCAUCUCGGCCCGGGUAUCACGUUUAUUCGUCCAUAUGAAAUAAAAAGGAUCAGGUACACAUGUGCUGCAAAGGAUUAGUGUUAAAUUGAUUGAACAUGUCAUGUGGCUGUCUUAAGAUAUGUGUACAUCUCAAUAAAAGUUAUACUUGCUUCAAAA